UACGAAAGGGGGCUAGCGUUGCUCGGAAUCACUGGGCGUAAAGCGCAUGCAGGCGGAUCGCUAAGUCAGGGGUGAAAGCCCGAGGCUCAACCUCGGAACUGCCUUUGAUACUGGCGAUCUUGAGUCCGGGAGAGGUGAGUGGAACUCCGAGUGUAGAGGUGAAAUUCGUAGAUAUUCGGAAGAACACCAGUGGCGAAGGCGGCUCACUGGCCCGGUACUGACGCUGAGAUGCGAAAGCGUGGGGAGCAAACAGG
rnacentral:rRNA from 1 species